AGAAGCUGAGGCAGCUGGUGCAUUAUGUCGGGCCUUAAAACGGCCAACCUACGCAUACUCGCGCGGUGCAGGCAACUCAGUUGCCUGACAUGGUAACUCCGUCGCCAUCCAUCUUGAGCCGGUGAGAGGAGGAGAGAAACUCACCCCGGGAGCUUCCCAUGGCAGAUUGCUUUAAAAUCCUGAUUGACGACCUUCUUGGGUUUGGACACGGUCUGCUCGGGCCAGGAGUCCAGAGUAAAGCUCAGUAGGCAUCGCGCCCAUAGGCCAGUCACUUCACUCAGUGGCUGCUACCGCCGACGCGGAAGAAAAGAACCGCCAGCCUGGAUCGGAGGCGGGCACAACGAGGUGGAGCUCGACCUGCCCUGAUAGCCAGAACGGUACCUCGUCAGCCCAGGGCCUAUUCCAAACGCGGUGCAAACACA